UUUUUAGAAGAGAGUGAAGUAGCACCAACAAAAGAUGCAGAUGUUGAUGUUGUGACAGAGCUAGCGGCAGUGGAACCAACUACCGUAGAAGAAUCGGAUAAAUGUGGCAUCAUUAUCUGUUAUGUGUAUUGUGAAGCUGGAUAUGUCAAAGAUGAGAACGGUUGCCACACCUGUACUUGUAUACCAGAGAGUGAAGUAGCGCCAACAAAAGAUGCAGAUGUUGAAGUUGUGACAGAGCUAGCGGCAGUGGAACCAACUACUGUAGAAGAAUCGGAUAAAUGUGGCACGUUUGUCUGCUAUUUGUAUUGUCCAGCUGGAUAUGUCAAAGAUGAGAAUGGUUGCUACACCUGUAAUUGUACACAAG